rnacentral:rRNA from 1 species
GACGAACCGUGCGAACGUUGUUCGGAAUCACUGGGCUUAAAGGGCGCGUAGGCGGGUCGGCAAGUCCGGGGUGAAAGCCCCCAGCUCAACUGGGGAAGGGCCUUGGAAACUGCCGGUCUCGAGGGAGGUAGGGGCCUGUGGAACUUCGGGUGGAGCGGUGAAAUGCGUUGAUAUCCGAAGGAACGCCGGUGGCGAAAGCGACGGGCUGGAUCUCUUCUGACGGCUGAGGCGCGAAAGCUAGGGUAGCGAACGGG